rnacentral:lncRNA from 10 species
AGCAACCCUGCGUGGUGCUGUGGUGCAGUAAUUAUACCCACCUUGAAGAAGCAAGUGCUGCAGUGAAGUGCUGCUGCCUGGUCCUUGCUAGUCAAGAUUCUAGCAUCCCUCCUGCUCCUGGAGAGCCCUGCUCCGUGGUAGCAUCUCCGACCACCAGACCUGGCUUGUUGAGGAUGGCUACCACUGAGCUUUUUAGCAAUACUGGUGCUACCCUCACCAGCAAGCUCCUUGUCACCAUGAUACCACUCAGAUGGAAUUAAGACCCCACUCUAAUAAUCUCAUUUUAACUUAACUACCUCUUCAAAGGCCCCAUCUCCAAAUACAUUCAAAUUCUGAGAUACUAGGGGUUAUGACUUCAGCAUAUGAAUUUGGAGGGAAUGCAGUUUGGCCCCUAACAGCAUGAAAUUUACUUGCACCCUGACAAGGAACAUUGAUGGGCAGUUGGUCCUGUGUCUCCUCCUGGCUCUGCCCAUCUGUGGACUGCAGCGCACUGCUCACGGGCCCUUGUUGGAUGACGAUUCCUGCUUCAGCAGCAUCCUUCUCCUUUCCGUACAACCUCACUGCCUAGUCACAGCUGAACGCAGCGUGGAGAGUUUAUUCUCAGUAGAGUGUGAGGGGCUUAUAGUUCCUGACGUGCUCUCCCUUCCUGAAUGAUACGCUUUGGGAAGAGUGAGGGAGCAAGGUAGAGAACAUGGUUUUUGGACAAGAGCUAGGUCAGACUAAGGAGGGAAAGACUGUCUUCCAGUCGCCGGUUCCCUCCAAGCCCUUGGGGGACUGCUUGUAUCACCGAAACCUGGAAACUGAGUCAGGGUCCCACUACAGCGCCGACUGCCUGUGGUCCUUUAAUUGUUCUGAACAUCGUUUCCUUCACCAGUGAAGCAAAUGCUGCCUUCGUAUCUACCCUCUGUGUUCUCAUCGAUGUGUGUGAUGUUUCACGUGACAGAUCAGUGCUUGUCACACAGAUGCCGCAAUACCCUGACUGGCCAGGGAUCACUGAUGAGGGCUUCCACGACCACUUGCCUUUUGCUCCCUCAUCUCGGGAUGGCCUCUGAAGGCACCUGCUCAUGUUGGGGGCUGCGUCCCCUGCAGUUCAGCGAAGGCACCUCUGUGCUGCUGAGCGCUCAAGAGGUCAUGAACCAGGCUUUGUAGGGAAAGUGUCGGCAGGAUGGUGGCGCAGUCCUGGAUCUUGGAGGAAUGUUAGAUGCUUUCCGUGAAAUCCCCUCAUUUUACAGCUGAGAACCCUGCACUUUGGAGAACCCCAGAGCUGCUUUCUGUGAAGCAUGGAGAAAAUAAGAAUGUGAACACAGGCCCCUGGACUCCCUCCAGAGCCUCGGUUUCCCUCCCCACUUCACUGAGAAAGAAACUAUGAGGUUGGCUGGGUGCGGUGGCUCAUGCCUGUAAUUCCAGCAGUUUGGGAGGCUGAAGUGGUCAGAUCACCUGAGGUCAGGAGUUUGAGACCAGCCUGGCCAACAUGGCGAAACCUUGUCUCUACUAAAAAAAGAGGUCGGCUCAUCUAGAUCUUUGUGAAUGAUAAAUACAAAUUUUAAACACAUAGCUGCAUUUAACAGUUGAAACAAGCCAUUCUGAGUUUGAGAACACAGCCUUCCCAGGUCCAGUUGAACUGGAUGGGGCCUUGUGCCGGGGUCUGCUCUGAAUAGCAGCCUUCAUGGAGUUGCCUUGUCUGUGUCAGAUGUCCCCUUGGGCCUUUCCAUAGCCAAGGGGACCAAUGGUGGCACCAAUGGGCUGACAGAGGAAGACUGGGAGCCCAGUGGCUGCACAUGUCCCACGGACACCCACUUGUCUAAUGACAAUGCUUUGGGCUGACUAAAUCAGCAGCGGAGAGGGAACCUGAGAGGCGGGAGGAGAAGCAGAGCAAGGCAGAGUCGGGGGACCGAGUCCUCCAGGAGGCAGGGCCAGCCCAGCAUGGGAAUUGGGGGCUGGGGGAGGAAGGGCAGAGCCUGGCCCAGGCCUGGCACACAGCAGAUGCCAUGCUGUCAACUCAGGGCUGGUGUGGAUAGGCUCAGCCUCUCUCUGGGGUCUCUCUCUGAGCCUCUGAGCAGGUGGGCCCUGCAGAGGCCCUCAGAGGCCAUUGGAGUCCAUGAACAUUCUCCAGGGCCAGAGAAGACCAUAGAGACAGCAGAAGGAGGAAUGCCCUCCUUCCACCAGAAGCUCAGCGCUUUGCAGGGCCAGAGGGCCGUUAUUGUGGUAGGGUGGUGGUGAUGGUGACGAUGAUAACACUCAAAUCCAUGGACUAGGGGGAGACUGUCACCUCACAUACCCCCUGACACCCAACUGCCAGCCCACGCUUGAGAUAUGAUGACAAAAUCUUCGUGCUUGGGCUCCACAGCCUUUUGCUCCCGCUAAGGGACAACUCUCCCUGGGAUGGGGACUUAUCUCAUUGGGCUGGGCUCAGGGAGUUUCCUGGAGGUGUGCUUUGCUGGGGAAGAUGGCAAAGAGCAGGUCCCUGGGGUAAAAUAAGGAGAGAGGGGCUGCAGAAAGCGUUCUGUGCCCCAACAGCCUCCACCCCUCCCUGCAGCCAGCGAGGGCGGAUGGGAGGCUGUCUGCCGCCAGAGCCUGGCCUGUGCCUCUCUGGAGGGCCUCCUGCCUGUGCCUCUAACACUGCACUGUUCACCAUGCCUGCGCCUGGGCACACUCAGAGGGUGUGCCCAGCAGAAAGCUUCAAGAACACUUUACCUGCCCCAGGCCAUUCCAGGUUGACCUUCAGAGGCCAGGCAGGCACAGGCUUCCCCUGGGCCACUCUCAGGUAGCCCCUGCAGAUUUUGAAUUAAACAUUUGAGGAUUUCACAUAGCAGAAAACCAGUUUUUUAUCCUGCCAGGAAAAACUUGAUGAUUUGGCAUUCCCACAGGCUGCCAUUGGUGGGAGGGGUGGGCUCAGGUCCAGGUUUAGCCCCUACAGCUGGCCUCACUCACCCACCACACCCCUGCAGGCCUCUGAGUAAGUGCCCUCCACUGCGGCUCCGUGCAGAGAAGUGUAUUUUUUAUGUAUUUUUAUUUUUAUUUUUUUGAGAUGGAGUCUCGCUCUGUUGCCCAGGCUGGAGUGCAGUUGCACCUCUCGGCUCACUGCAAGCUCCACCUCCCGGGUUCAAGCAAUUCUCCUCCCUCAGCCUCCAGAGUAGCUGGGAUUACAGGCGCCCGCCACCACACCUGGUUAAUUUUUGUAUUUUUAGUAGAGAUGGGGUUUUGUCAUGUUGGCCAGGCUGGUCUCGAACUCCUGACCUCAAGUGAUCCGAGAAGUGUAUUUUUUAAAUAAAGGAGUUGAAGGGACGCUAUGCUCCUUUUUCAUCCCUCAUGUUCAUUCCAUGGGCUGCAUCACAAUGGUGACGCUAGGACUCAUCUAAUAGUGACAACAUGAGACCCUAGGUAGCACUUACCCUCUGCUGGGCAUUACUCUGUCUCAGGAAACUGAGGCUCAGCGAACUUGAGAUCCCUCACCUGAGCCCUGCAGCUGGUGAGUGGUGGAGCUGGGACUCACACCCAUGCAGAGGAACACCAGAGCCUGAACCCUCCAUGGUCGGGCGGAUAUUUUUCCAAGCAUUCUCCUCCAGUCGGUCACUUCAUGAGCAUAAGGACAUGGUCCUCCGCCUGGGAACCCCGGGUGCCUGACGGUUCCCACAGCUCACAGCCUGCCCCUCUGUGUAGCCUUUGGGCUGUGGUCCCCCUCUGAUCUGAGGCCAGUCACCUCUGCAUGUCCGGGUUUCUGCCUGAUUCCAGUCCCUGCCAGGGCAAAGGUGGUCCCCCUGUUGAGGGGCAGGGAGGGAGGCAGCCUGUGCUUUCUGCUGUCUCCAUGUGCAGCCUGCGUGAAAGCCAGCAGCCUCAUGGUCCAGUCACGGCACAGUGUGACAGUCACAGACAGAGAGGCAGAAAAGACACACAGAACACACAGCUAUCUUUGUUUAGGCUGCCUCCUUUCCAGCCCUGAUUACUUCAGGACGACUCUUGGAUCUAACAUAACAGAGUGGUCUCCACACUUGGACACAGGAAGGGGAACAUCACACACCAGGGCCUGUCGUGGGGUGAGGAGAGGGGGGGAGGGAUAGCAUUAGGAGAUAUACCUAAUGUAAAUGACGAGUUAAUGGGUGCAACACACCAACAUGGCACAUGUAUGCAUACGUAACAAACCUGUAUGUUGUGCACAUGUACCCUAGAACUUAAAGUAUAAUUAAAAACAAACAAACAAAAAAAACCAGAGUGGUCUUCUUCUCUGCACAUUCCAGUGGCAAGACAGAGUUUAGGGGAUGCCAAGAGGCCAGCACCAUCCACGACUCACUCCAAUUUUCAUGUAAAGACUAGUGUGCCAAGUGCCGCCUAGAUGUGAGCUGUGCUGUCCAGCAUGAAGGUGAGACUCUCUAACCCUUAGCACUACUCCAUGCCCAAGACUGGAGUCACUGACCCAGCCUGGGGCCAAUGGCAGAAGGGCUGCCUGUACCCACACUUGACUUCUGGGGUCCUGAGAGAGAGGAGUGUCCCAACCUCUUAUUGCCCCCUUGGGGCAGAGGUUGGGCCCUGAGG